rnacentral:rRNA from 1 species
AGUCGCACGAAGGUUUCGGCCUUAGUGGCGGACGGGUGAGUAACGCGUAGGAAUCUAUCCACGGGUGGGGGAUAACUUCGGGAAACUGAAGCUAAUACCGCAUGAUACCUAAGGGUCAAAGGCGCAAGUCGCCUGUGGAGGAGCCUGCGUUUGAUUAGCUUGUUGGUGGGGUAAUGGCCUACCAAGGCGAUGAUCGAUAGCUGGUUUGAGAGGAUGAUCAGCCACACUGGGACUGAGACACGGCCCAGACUCCUGCGGGAGGCAGCAGUGGGGAAUAUUGGACAAUGGGGGCAACCCUGAUCCAGCAAUGCCGCGUGUGUGAAGAAGGUUUUCGGAUUGUAAAGCACUUUCGGCGGGGACGAUGAUGACGGUACCCGCAGAAGAAGCCCCGGCUAACUUCGUGCCAGCAGCCGCGGUAAUACGAAGGGGGCUAGCGUUGCUCGGAAUGACUGGGCGUAAAGGGCGUGUAGGCGGUUUGUACAGUCAGAUGUGAAAUCCCCGGGCUUAACCUGGGAGCUGCAUUUGAUACGUGCAAACUAGAGUGUGAGAGAGGGUUGUGGAAUUCCCAGUGUAGAGGUGAAAUUCGUAGAUAUUGGGAAGAACACCGGUGGCGAAGGCGGCAACCUGGCUCAUAACUGACGCUGAGGCGCGAAAGCGUGGGGAGCAAACAGGAUUAGAUACCCUGGUAGUCCACGCUGUAAACGAUGUGUGCCAGAUGUUGGGUAACUUA